UGGUUGGAAAAAUUAUUGAUGAUGAUAUUAUUGUAAAUAAGAAGAAAUGGUUAGGGAAUAUUUGGUUUUUGUUAAAUUCGAAAUUGAUAAAAAAUUAAAUAAAAAUGGUCAUUUUGUAAAUAAUUCAAAAACAUAUGAAUAAUAUAGAAAAUUCAUCGUUGAAUAGUAAUGACAAAAAAAAUGGUUGGUUUUAGGUUUGGCUUAAAAUGGGUUGGUUUUCAAAAACUUUUUUUUUUGUUUUACCUUUUGGUUUCUAAUAUUUUAGAUUUUGGUUUUUAAUUUUCAGAAUUUUAUUUUUCAGUUUUCAGUUUUCAUAUUUGGUUUUGUUUUGUUUUUCAGAUUUUGAAUUUUUAUUUUGAAUUUUACUAUAUUUUUUGUUUUCUAAAAACUACUAAUUUAUACUCAAAUAAUACAACAAAAAUAUCGACAAAAUAUUUAGAAGUUACCAUUAAAA
rnacentral:lncRNA from 1 species